rnacentral:rRNA from 1 species
AUUGAACGCUGGCGGCAUGCUUUACACAUGCAAGUCGAACGGUAACAGCACUUCGGUGGCUGACGAGUGGCGAACGGGUGAGUAAUGUAUCGGAACGUGCCCAGUAGUGGGGGAUAACUACUCGAAAGAGUGGCUAAUACCGCAUGAGAUCUCUGGAUGAAAGCGGGGGACCGUAAGGCCUCGCGCUACUGGAGCGGCCGAUAUCAGAUUAGGUUGUUGGUGGGUAAAGGCCUACCAAGCCUGCGAUCUGUAGCUGGUCUGAGAGGACGACCAGCCACACUGGGACUGAGACACGGCCCAGACUCCUACGGGAGGCAGCAGUGGGGAAUUUUGGACAAUGGACGCAAGUCUGAUCCAGCAAUGCCGCGUGCAGGACGAAGGCCUCGGUUGUAACUAGCUUUG